GACGAACGCUGGCGGCGUGCUUAACACAUGCAAGUCGAACGGUGAAGGGACCAGCUUGCUGGUUCUGGAUGAGUGGCGAACGGGUGAGUAACACGUGAGUAACCUGCCCCCUUCUUCUGGAUAACCGCAUGAAAGUGUGGCUAAUACGGGAUAUUCUGGGUCUGUCGCAUGGCGGGCCCGGGAAAGAUAUUGCUUCGGUGGGGGAUGGGCUCGCGGCCUAUCAGCUUGUUGGUGGGGUGAUGGCCUACCAAGGCGGUGACGGGUAGCCGGCCGGAGAGGGUGGACGGUCACACUGGGACUGAGACACGGCCCAGACUCCUACGGGAGGCAGCAGUGGGGAAUAUUGCACAAUGGGCGCAAGCCUGAUGCAGCGACGCCGCGUGAGGGAUGGAGGCCUUCGGGUUGUAAACCUCUUUCGCCAGUGAAGCAGGCCUGCUCCUUGUGGGUGGGUUGACGGUAGCUGGAUAAGAAGCGCCGGCUAACUACGUG
rnacentral:rRNA from 1 species